GCCCAGAAUAGAAUUUUAGUUCAACUUUAAACUUGCCUACAAAACUUAAAAAUUCUAAUGCAAGUUUAAAAUAUAUUCUAAAAAGGUACAGCUUUUUAGAAUCAAGGAUACAACCUUACUUAGAGAGUAAAUACUGAUUAAAUCAUAGUAGGCCUAGAAGCAGCCAUCAAUUAAGAAAGCGUUUAAGCUCAACACCCAUACCAACCUGAUACCAAAAAUAUCCAAUUAACUCCUAAUAUAAUAACUGGGCUAAUCUAUUUAAAUAUAGAAGCAACAAUGCUAAUAUGAGUAACGAGAAGUACUUCUCCAACGCAUAAGCUUAUAACAGCAACGGAUAACCACUGAUAGUUAACAACAACGUAGAAAUAAUCCAACAAUAAAACACCUACCAAACCAAUUGUUAAUCCAACACAGGCAUGCGACUAAGGAAAGAUUAAAAGAAGUAAAAGGAACUCGGCAAACACAAACCCCGCCUGUUUACCAAAAACAUCACCUCCAGCAUUCCCAGUAUUGGAGGCACUGCCUGCCCGGUGACAUCAGUUAAACGGCCGCGGUAUUCUGACCGUGCAAAGGUAGCAUAAUCAUUUGUUCUCUAAAUAAGGACUUGUAUGAAAGGCCACACGAGGGUUUAACUGUCUCUUACUUCCAAUCAGUGAAAUUGACCUUCCCGUGAAGAGGCGGGAAUAAAAUAAUAAGACGAGAAGACCCUAUGGAGCUUCAAUUAAUUAGCUCAAAAGGAUUUAUUUACCAGACCAACAGGAACAACAUAUUCCUUCCAUGAGCUAGCAAUUUAGGUUGGGGCGACCUCGGAGUACAAAAUAACCUCCGAGUGAUAUUAAUCUAGACGUACCUGUCAAAAUGCUCACUUACUUAUUGAUCCAAAACUUCUUUGAUCAACGGAACAAGUUACCCUAGGGAUAACAGCGCAAUCCUGUUUAAGAGUCCAUAUCGACAAUAGGGUUUACGACCUCGAUGUUGGAUCAGGACAUCCUAAUGGUGCAGCAGCUAUUAAGGGUUCGUUUGUUCAACGAUUAAAG
rnacentral:rRNA from 1 species